rnacentral:rRNA from 1 species
GUUUGGNNNNUGGCUCAGGACGAACGCUGGCGGCGUGCUUAACACAUGCAAGUCGAACGAUGAAGCCCUUCGGGGUGGAUUAGUGGCGAACGGGUGAGUAACACGUGGGCAAUCUGCCCUUCACUCUGGGACAAGCCCUGGAAACGGGGUCUAAUACCGGAUAACACUCUGUCCUGCAUGGGACGGGGUUAAAAGCUCCGGCGGUGAAGGAUGAGCCCGCGGCCUAUCAGCUUGUUGGUGGGGUAAUGGCCUACCAAGGCGACGACGGGUAGCCGGCCUGAGAGGGCGACCGGCCACACUGGGACUGAGACACGGCCCAGACUCCUACGGGAGGCAGCAGUGGGGAAUAUUGCACAAUGGGCGAAAGCCUGAUGCAGCGACGCCGCGUGAGGGAUGACGGCCUUCGGGUUGUAAACCUCUUUCAGCAG